rnacentral:tRNA from 1 species
GGGGUUGUGGCUCAGUGGUAGGGUGCUUGCCUUGCAUGCAUGAGGCACUGGGUGCAAUCCUCAGCACCACA